GACCAGACUCCUACGGGAGGCAGCAGUGAGGAAUAUUGGUCAAUGGGCGAGAGCCUGAACCAGCCAAGCCGCGUGAAGGAUGACGGCCCUACGGGUUGUAAACUCCUUUUGCCAGGGAGCAAUUGGGUCCACGCGUGGGCUUAGCGAGAGUACCUGAAGAAAAAGCAUAGGCUAACUCCGUGCCAGCAGCCGCGGUAAUACGGAGGAUGCGAGCGUUAUCCGGAUUUAUUGGGUUUAAAGGGUGCGUAGGCGGAAUAUCAAGUCAGCGGUAAAAAUUCGGGGCUCAACCCCGUCGUGCCGUUGAAACUGGCGCCCUUGAGUGAGGGAGAAGUAAGCGGAAUGCGUGGUGUAGCGGUGAAAUGCAUAGAUAUCACGCAGAACCCCGAUUGCGAAGGCAGCGUACCGGCGCCCAACUGACGCUGAAGCACGAAAGCGUGGGUAUCGAACAGGAUUAGAUACCCGAGUA
rnacentral:rRNA from 1 species